UUUUUUAAUCCAUUUUCAAACGGAGACAGGACGGUUCCGAUUAGGGAAAUGCAGAUCACCCACAGCAGUGAGCUGAUGGAUCCCAUUUCUCACACUCAGACAGACCGGCUUGCAAGAUAAGAUUCAGGGUGUUGCGAGAGAUGAUGAACCUAGAGGUGGGGAGUGAGAGCAGUUUACUGGCAAUCAUAUACUCUCCCCUUGGGAGUGUUGGAGUGGAGGAUGGGCCUGGCUCUUUGCCUCAUCUCCACAUGGAUACUCUUUCUUAGAAGCCAUCGUAAGCAUUUACUCAGUAGAAUUCGAUCAAGCGUUGGCAGCGUCGCGUCUAGAAGACCAAGAUACGUUUUCAUCGCUUUUUGUGGCGAGUUUCCGUCGCUUGAAAGUGAACAGUGGUACUCGGGGAGAGCGCGAACGCGCUGCAGAAAUGAGGAGCGUAAUAGAGAGCCAGAGGAUAAAGAAAGAAAGAAAGAAAGAAAGUGGGACUGACUGUAAAAGUGCUGCAUAUUUCAACACAAAAAACAACAUCUGUUCAGAGUUAGUGAAACCUCCUACGCAGUGUAAUCUUAAGCGCACUGUUGUGAGUAGGUCAUUGUGAUGUGGGUGGUUAUUUGUCAUCUGUUAAGACGACCAGGGCUACCGAAGUUUUAGUGUGUGUGUGUGCAGAUGUGACAAUCAUACUCGUCUUGACUGACAGCUGAUGAUGAUGAUGAUGAUGAUAUGUGUGUGUGUUAUCAUAAGUUGCCAGAUUUGGAAUCACUUUAAUUCUAAAA